rnacentral:rRNA from 1 species
UUCCAGACUCCUACGGGAGGCAGCAGUGGGGAAUAUUGCACAAUGGGGGAAACCCUGAUGCAGCGACGCCGCGUGAGUGAAGAAGUAACUCGUUAUGUAAAGCUCUAUCAGCAGGGAAGAAAAUGACGGUACCUGAGUAAGAAGCCCCGGCUAACUACGUGCCAGCAGCCGCGGUAAUACGUAGGGGGCAAGCGUUAUCCGGAUUUACUGGGUGUAAAGGGAGCGUAGACGGCAGUGCAAGUCUGGAGUGAAAGGCGGGGGCUCAACCCCCGGACUGCUCUGGAAACUGUACGGCUGGAGUGCAGGAGAGGUAAGUGGAAUUCCUAGUGUAGCGGUGAAAUGCGUAGAUAUUAGGAGGAACACCAGUGGCGAAGGCGGCUUACUGGACUGUAACUGACGUUGAGGCUCGAAAGCGUGGGGAGCAAACAGGAUUAGAUACCCGGGUAGC